GAUCACAAGCCCCUGGUUCAACCUGGAAAAUAUGAGCAAAUGAAGGCUUAUGAAUGGAUACAGAAUUUACUCAUAGUCCAGAGAACUGGGGACAAAGCAUAAUAAACUUAACGCAAAAGAUUCAUAUCAAAUCACUUGAAUGCAACCAACCAACCAAGACAAAUAAAAUGAUGGGACUACUGAGCAAUAAUUGAUAUUUUUAUUUAGAUAUGUAUCGGGAGUUUGUUGCUUUCAUGAGGCAAAACAUAAUAUGAAAAUAGAAAGCUAAAAUAAAUAAAGAGUUGAGAUCUAUAAUUCUUUUUCCCUCUUCCCUUCUCUUUUGGUGAGUGAAGCUCCUCAAAUAAGA
rnacentral:misc_RNA from 1 species